rnacentral:rRNA from 1 species
UGGCAGCUACACAUGCAGUCGACGGCAGCACAGUAAGAGCUUGCUCUUAUGGGUGGCGAGUGGCGGACGGGUGAGGAAUACAUCGGAAUCUACCUUUUCGUGGGGGAUAACGUAGGGAAACUUACGCUAAUACCGCAUACGACCUUCGGGUGAAAGCAGGGGACCUUCGGGCCUUGCGCGAUUAGAUGAGCCGAUGUCGGAUUAGCUAGUUGGUGAGGUAAAGGCUCACCAAGGCGACGAUCCGUAGCUGGUCUGAGAGGAUGAUCAGCCACACUGGAACUGAGACACGGUCCAGACUCCUACGGGAGGCAGCAAUGGGGAAUAUUGGACAAUGGGCGCAAGCCUGAUCCAGCCAUGCCGCGUGGGUGAGGAAGGCCUUCGGGUUGUAAAGCCCUUUUGUUGGGAAAGAAAAGCAGUCGAUUAAUACUCGAUUGUUCUGACGGUACCCAAAGAAUAAGCACCGGCUAACUUCGUGCCAGCAGCCGCGGUGAUACGAAGGGUGCAAGCGUUACUCGGAAUUACUGGGCGUAAAACGUGCGUAGGUGGUGAUUUAAGUCCGUUGUGAAAGCCCUGGGCUCAACCUGGGAAUUGCAGUGGAUACUGGGUCACUAGAGUGUGGUAGAGGGUAGCGGAAUUCCCGGGUGUAGCAGUGAAAUGCGUAGAGAUCGGGAGGAACAUCUGUGGCGAAAGCGGCUACCUGG